ACAUGCCUACAAUAUAACGUUAAUGCACUGGAUCCCAUUAGAACACCGCAGUUAAACGUGCUCGGGCUAGAGUAGUAUUGGGAUGGGUGGUUGCCCGGGGAAUUCAUAGUGUUUUACAUGCC
rfam:Picea glauca, whole genome shotgun sequence.